rnacentral:rRNA from 1 species
UACGUAGGGGGCUAGCGUUGUCCGGAUUUACUGGGUUUAAAGGGUGCGUAGGUGGAUUGGUAAGUCAGUGGUGAAAUACUUUCGCUUAACGAAGGAACUGCCAUUGAUACUAUCAAUCUUGAAUGUAGUGGAGGUAGGCGGAAUGCGUCAUGUAGCGGUGAAAUGCUUAGAUAUGACGCAGAACACCAAUUGCGAAGGCAGCUUGCUACACUACUAUUGACACUGAGGCACGAAAGCGUGGGGAUCAAACAGG